AGGGAGGGAGGGAUCCGAAAAUUAGUCACUAAAAAAAAAAAAGCCCCAGGCACUUCAUGCCUGGAAAUGAUGUAAGACGCAGCCACUCCUCUGUUAGAACUACAACCAAACAAUGCUCGGCGAUCGCGGCAGCUGCUCUCCAAAUGUCAGCGCCAAGCCCGGCCAAAGGGCUGGAAGGCCACCGAGCCCAGGACUUUGUGCGCUACCUUUGUCGCCCACAUUUUCCCCAAGCACUCUCAGGACCCUGGCAACAGGUAACGUGGCAACCUUUUCCUUCUAAAACGGCAAGCGGCAGGAUUUCAGAGAACAAAAGGAUUUUUUGAAAGCCAGCUGCAUCUCCCUCGCCACCCCUCCCCCUCCCCCCCACGCCCUCCCCCUUCGCCACUCCAAGUCUGAGAAAACAAAGUAUUGCUGCGGCAGCCCGGCUCUCGAGCGCCCCCUGGUGACCAAGCUCGGAACAUCACCGAUGUACCUUUCAAGGUACAACUUCAGUCCGAGGCUCGGCUCCCAGCAAGGGAAACCUGGAAUGCAAUCACACAGCCCAGCAGGACUCUCCGCCGUGGGGCACACAGCGGACCUCAGCGGGUACUGAGCUCUGAGGCCAGAUGGAGUCGCUGACUGGCUCCAGGUGAGAGCAGGGUCUCGGGCACACACUGCCCACUGGUCUCCCUUGAAACGGUGAGCUGGCCAUGCAGAGUGAGGGUGCUGAGCCCACACCCGGUGAGGUCAUGUCUCAUGAUGGUCCAUCGGGCUGAGUCCUCACUGAAACCUCUGGCUGGAUCGAUCAGGAGCCUCUGCUCUCUGGCCAACACCCUGGGCUUCGGAGAGAAGGCAGACCUUGUGUCAAAGCAGCCUGAUGCUGCUGCCCUGUGGACAGAGGGCUUGGCCGGCUGGCUCCACCUGGAGCAGAAGCUUUUGCAUCAGACAAACUGGGGGAAACAGGAUAUAUGAGGAAGCAAAGAAGAAAGAAAAUGUAUCCAGCAUGUCUUCCUGUCAGUUGGAGGGCGAUGAGAAAUAAUCACCUGUGUCUGGAGAGCAAGGCAUGUAGGGGGGCCUGAUCUGUGCAGUGAGGCAGUUAAUUAUUCGUCUGACUUCUUUCCGCUUUCCUCCCUGAAAUCCCCCUCCUCAAAGGAAAAACAGGAUAGACUUUGUGGGUUAAGCUGUGGAAUACUGUCUACCAGCCCGCUGGGCCCAGAAAGGACACCAGCCCCUUACUGACUCUCAGAUGACAGGAUCAGUGCUUCAAAAUGACACCUCAUUAUCCAACUGUGUCACUGACAGAUGAGGACACAGAUCCAGAGAAGAACUUGGCUGGGGCCCCCCAGUCUUCUUCUGUCUGCACCACACAGCAAACACCAUCAGCCUUUACAGUGGGUUCAUAAAGGGCCACUUCAGACUGCAUUCACAAUUCCACUGUACAGUUGGGUUUUGGUCAUUUGCCAGAAUUAAAUAAAAAUAUCAAGGAACCCUCCUACACUGUUGGUGGGAAUGUAAAUUAGUACAACCGCUAUGGAGAACAGUAUGGAGUUUCCUGAAGAAACUAAAAAUAGAACUACCAUAUCACCCAGCAAUCCCACUCCUGGGCAUAUAUCCAGAGAAAACCAUAAAAAAAUAAAAAAGACACAUGCACCCCAAUGUUCAUUGCAACACUAUUUAUAGUAGCCAAGACAUGAAGCAACCUAAAUGUCCAUCAACAGAGGAAUGGAUAAAGAAGAUGUGGCCGAAUGCCAUCCACACAAAAGAGCUCCUGUCGACAUCUCAUUUACAAUCUACCCCCAGGACACAGACAGGACCAUUUCAAUAAACCCGGCUCAGAAACACCUAUUGUUCAAAAUCUUCAACUAGCCACAGGCUACCACCACUCCCUAUUGUUUUGUAAAAUAAAAGAUUUAGAAGGAGCCAGAUUGGGACCUGGAAGCUCUGAAAAGAGGAAGGAAAAAAGUCCCUUUGACCCGAUGCUGUUGGAGAACGUGCGUGAAGAAUAAAGUUGAUGGAUUUUCAUUUUUACAAGAAGUGCAUAAGCAACGCCCGCUCCCUUCCUGAACUCGUGAUCGGGGAUUCUAAAAGCGGUGCCAACUUUGUAAAGAAGUUAACUCCUGCCAACGGGUCUGGUACCUGAAAAGUCAAAGGCUCUACUUACCCUAUUCUCUGUCUUACAGAAGCCCUGAUGGCAGCCACAGCAAAGCACCAGAUCCUAUGAUUUCCUCUCUGGAGGAUGACAGCAACUUCCUACCUCAGCCAGCGUUCCUCAAACUACCUGUUGUGACUUAUUAACGGAUCAUGAAAUCAGUUGAGGUAUCAGCUGAGGUGUCGCCUCUUCCAGGAAGGCUUCCGGAAGUCCCUCUAAACGCCUCUUAGUUCUCAUGAGAACCCCUGACGUUUUAUCUGACAGAGCACUUAUUGCAUCAUGAUUAUCUUCUCGGUUCCUUACAGAACUUUAAGCUCCAAGGGGCAGCCAGUAUAUAUUUGUUGGGGGUAAAUAUUGUGCAUCGAAUGUGUCACAUCUUACGCAGUUCACACUUCCUUCCUACAAACCCAUUUGGAUAGUUAUAAAAUACCGUAUCUCUGUUUCUCAAAGCUUGAGUUUUCAUUCGUUUACACUGAAGUGUCUCUUGUUCAUUUGCUCUUCAAACACAACCUAAUUAACUUCCGAAUUCACUGGACUCCUCCUCUUAAAACUCAAAAUAAUAAAAUGCGGGGAAAGCUGUUGUACCCCUGGCUGGUCACUCACCCUCUCUGAGCCUCAGAUAAUACAGAGGAGCAGAGCUCAAUGACCUCUAAGAUCUCUUCCAGGCUGCCACUCUGAACCUCUGGCUUGCACUAAGGACCAGAGAGGUUAAGUGACUUUCCCAAGGUCAAACAGCUCUCUAGUGGCACGAUAUUGUCUGUCUUUCUAUAGAUUUUUAACAGCAAGCUGCAAACAAAAAAACCUUCUACCCAGAAAUCGGUAGUGCCACUAAAAAGUGUGCCUGAAAGAGAAUCAUAAAAUUAAAGAAGGGACUUCCCAGGUGGCGCAGCGGUUAAGACUCUGUGCUCCCAAUGCCAGGGGCCCAGGUUCAGUCCCUGGCCAGGGAACUAGAUCCCACAGCUAAGGAGCCCUUGAGCUGCAACUAAGACCCAGCGCAACCAAAUAAACAAAUAUUUUUAAAUAAUAAAUAAAUAAAAUUAAAGAAAUAGGGGACUAAAAAAACCCAAAAGCCAACAGCAUUCAUAACGGGUUCCUGCCCAGGCAGGUCCCAACAUUUUAAAAACCAAUCUUGCUGUUAGAUGCAGAGAUGUUCAGAUUUCCUUUUAAAAACUGGAAGUGAAAAAUUCAAGAAACUUUUGCAUCCUGACCCCUUGUAGAUGCCCUUCUGCAGAGGCACAAAUGGACCCAGCCUUCCUCAAGGUACUGAUUCGAGCAUCCCAGUGGCUUUUUUAGUGCUGAGGCCCUCGUGCCUUGAUCUGAUGCCACUCUGAGGACCAAAGCUGUAACUCACCAGGAUGAGACUUGGCCUCAGUUCCUGUACCCCAUCCCCCAUCCCUCCCGGCCAGGACCACCUCGCAGUCCCUGCUUUCAAGGACAGACUUGUGUUAUUUCCUUAGUUACAGAGUUUGGGCGUUAGAUAACCUGCUCUGUAAAAUAGAAAGUCAACAAACCAGAAAUACACCCCUUUAGGGAAAAAAAGAAACAAAAACAAUAGCUAUACUACUUUUCCCUCCUAUGUUAUGUGCUAUGUUUUAUUCUAUAAUGUAAGUCAGCGUGUACAUUUGUUUUAUUUGUUGCUUUUCCCCCUCUAAACAGACCAGCAGUAGCUUGCCUUCAUUUGACGGAAAAUUUGUCACUUUCUACUGCAACCCUGUAUAAAACCACUAUGUAUGUGAGGACUCCAUGCACACCAAGUAGUUAUAGCCAAGCCGUGGACUUAUGGAUGAUUUUUACUUUAUUUUUUGAGCUUCUUGGAAUUUUCUGAUUUAAAAAAAUGAAUACUUGUUACUAUUGUAAUCAUAACAAAGUGCAAAUGUCAAAAUAAAGACCAGAUACACUAUUAUUUCUACACUGCCAUGAUCCCUGACUAAAUUAAAUAGCUUUAUUUUUACCAUA